rnacentral:rRNA from 1 species
GCGCGAAAACUUUACAAUGCUGGCAACAGCGAUCAGGGAACCUCGAGUGCCAGGUUACAAAUCUGGCUGUCGAGAUGCCUAAAAAGCAUUUCAUAGCAAGGGCCGGGCAAGACCGGUGCCAGCCGCCGCGGUAACACCGGCGGCUCGAGUGGUAACCGUUAUUAUUGGGUCUAAAGGGUCUGUAGCCGGCCGGAUAAGGCUCUUGAGAAAUCUGGCAGCAUAACUGUCAGGCUUUCAGGAGAUACUGUCUGGCUCGAGGCCGGGAGAGGUGAGAGGUACUUCAGGGGUAGGGGUGAAAUCUUGUAAUCCUUGAAGGACCACCAGUGGCGAAGGCGUCUCACCAGAACGGACCUGACGGCAAGGGACGAAAGCUAGGGGCACGAACC